rnacentral:rRNA from 1 species
UACGGAGGGUGCGAGCGUUGUCCGGAAUCAUUGGGCGUAAAGGGCGCGUAGGUGGCUCGGUCAGCGUGCGGUGAAAGCUCGGGGCUCAACCCCGAGUCGGCCGUGCGAACUGCUGGGCUUGAGCACUGUAGAGGCAGGCGGAAUUCCGGGUGUAGCGGUGGAAUGCGUAGAGAUCCGGAAGAACACCGGUGGCGAAGGCGGCUCUCUGGAACGCAACUGACGCUGAGACGCGAAAGCGUGGGGAGCAAACAGG